rnacentral:lncRNA from 1 species
CUUCUUUUGGACAUCCUUCUUUUCUGGAGAACGAAGAGGAGACGGGGCUCUAGUAGACUUUGCACUGGAUGUAGAAGAUAACUUUUUAGAUGCAGAUGAAGGAAGACUAUUGGAGAUGGAAGAAUUGUAUAUGUCACUGGGAAGAUCCCAGACAGAUUAACCGCGCCAACUGUCUAAUUUAACUGUAUCUUUUUUAUUGGAUUUCUUUUUUUCAUUUUUUUGUGUGAUGACAUUGAGCUCUGCAAGGAAGAUUGAGUUGACUGAGUACUGGUUUUAGAAGUUUUAGUUUUUCUUAGAAUUAAUAUUUUAUCGUUAGGUUGUUUCAACAGGCAGCAUUGUAAAUGUCUCAAGAUCAAUCGGCCAGGUCAUGCGAGUUUGUGUAUGCUCGUCACUGAAUGAGCGGAUAACUUUGCUGGCGUACGAUGGUCUGUUUGAAACAAG